AAGUAUUUAAAGGUCGAACAGACCUAUUGAUUGAGCUACUCGACCUAACUAUUAUCUUAAUCCAACAUCGAGGUCGCAAGCCUUCUUGUAAAUUUGAACUCUGAAAGAAGAUUACGCUGUUAUCCCUAAGGUAACUUAAUCUAAUGAUCAAUAAUAUAGGAUCCAAUAAAACAUAAAUUAAUGUAAAUUAAAAUGAUAAAAGUUAAAUAUAUAUUUCUUGUCACCCCAACAAAACAAUAUUAAAAUUAAUACUAAAUUAUUAAACAAAGAAAUAUUAAAAACAAUAUAAUGUAAAGCUCUAUAGGGUCUUCUCGUCCUCCAAAAAUAUUUAAGCCUUUUAACUUAAAAGUUAAAUUAUAAAUUUAUAAAUAAGACAGUUUAUGUUUCGUUAAACCUUUCAUACCAGCCUCCUAUUAAAAGACUAAUGAUUAUGCUACCUUUGCACGGUCAAUAUACCGCGGCCGUUAAAUUUAAUUCACUGGGCAGGCCAGACCUUCC
rnacentral:rRNA from 1 species